CACGAGGAGAUUGAAGAUCUGGAGAGAAAAGUGCAGGAAUACCAAAAAAAGGAAGGACUAAGAUGAUAAGCAAGCUCAAAGAAUGUGAUCAAAAAUGGAUGCUGAUGAGCCUACUGUUCAAAAGUUGAUUGAAAUUUAAGAACAAAUGAAGGCAGAACUUGAAAAUGAGAGAUCAUUAGUUAAAACUCCGGUAAGAUACUUAC
rnacentral:lncRNA from 1 species